UCCCUAUGAGGAUAUAACUCAAAGGGGGAAUUCCAUCCCAAUAUACAUUCUGGGAUGAAACUGAAAUAACAAUCAUCCACGAGGACAUAACUCAGUGGGGAAUAUGGAAGAAAGGAUAAACACUUUUUGCUUAUGGGGCUGACUCUAUAUAGGAAGAUCAGACACAAACAUCUGCUUGGGGAAAUAUACUACCAACUAGCAGGAGAUAACA
rnacentral:lncRNA from 1 species